ACAUCCAUUUCAGCAGUUCAUCUUCUUCCACCGCUCUUUCCCAACUUCGCGUCCUGCAUACAGUUCAGCCGCUCAUCAUGUCAGACCCCGUAAAACAGCCUCUUCCCUCGCCCAAAGAACCCCCAUCACCCAAAUCCAAUUCAGGCGCAUUUUUCCUGGCGUCCAUAUUAGGCAUCUGCGUUGUAACUGUCAAUACAGCCAUCUUAGCCGUCCAAUCAUUAGAUAAUCCUUGGGCAUUUUCAUUCGUCCUCCCGGUUUAUGUCCUACUCAAUCUUUUAUUUCUCUUCCUCCAUCUCUACCAUCGAACACCCGAAAAUUCAGGCAGGAGAGAGAUAUGGAAAGUUUCUAUUUGGGCUAUACUCACUGCACUCAACGUUGUUUUUGCAUAUCCCAACAUUGUUUUUGUAUAUCCUAUUACAACGAUUAUGAUUAUGGAGAUGAAGUAUAUUGUCUGGGGAAUGGCUGCCUUCAGUACUGUUUCUGGGUUUUACUUCUUUUUCAUCUUCCCCAAAAACUCCAACAACUUUUAUGGCGCAUGCAAAUCUUGGGAUGGGCAGUCUGUCCUUGAUGAAAAAGUCUAGAAUGACUUUCCCUUGUGGUGCCGAUGAUGUGAAAGUCACAUGUUGCUGGGAUGGACAGCUCCAACGAUGCAUCAUGGAGUUUUCCAACGCAUGGCCUCGUUCUAUAAUCCUUCGUUUUAUUUUGAUUAAUUUACAUAGCUUUGUUUUUAUAACUAUAGACUUAAUAUUUGUAUCAUUAAAUAGGAUAUUCAUGUUAGGAGAGA